GAUGAACGCUGGCGGCGUGCCUAAUACAUGCAAGUCGAGCGAAGCGGGGACGGGUGAGUAACACGUGGAUAACCUCCUAUAAGACUGGGAUAACUUCGGGAAACCGGAGCUAAACAGGAUACUUAUAGAUGGAUCCGUGCUGCCUGAGCUAGUUGGUAAGGUAACGGGUUACCAAGGCAACGAUGCAUAGCCGACCUGAGGGGGUGAUCGGCAACACUGGAGCGAGGACGCGGUCCAAACUCCUAAGGGAGGCACCAGUAGGAAUUCUUCCGCAAGGGGCGGAAGCGUGUAGGAGCAAAGGCGGGUGAGUGAGAAGGGUCGUCGGAUCGUAAAACUCUGUGAUUAGGGAAGCGGUACCUAAGCAGAAAGCCACGGCUAACUACGUGCCAGCAGCCGGGGUAAUU
rnacentral:rRNA from 1 species